UACGUAGGGUCCGAGCGUUGUCCGGAAUUACUGGGCGUAAAGAGCUCGUAGGUGGUUUGUCGCGUUGUUCGUGAAAACUCACAGCUCAACUGUGGGCGUGCGGGCGAUACGGGCAGGCUAGAGUUCGGUAGGGGAGACUGGAAUUCCUGGUGUAGCGGUGAAAUGCGCAGAUAUCAGGAGGAACACCGAUGGCGAAGGCAGGUCUCUGGGCAUUAACUGACGCUGAGGAGCGAAAGCAUGGGGAGCGAACAGG
rnacentral:rRNA from 1 species